GCAGUCGAACGAGACCUUCGGGUCUAGUGGCGCACGGGUGCGUAACGCGUGGGAACCUGCCUUUAGGUUCGGAAUAACAGUGAGAAAUUACUGCUAAUACCGAAUAAUGUCUUCGGACCAAAGAUUUAUCGCCUUUAGAUGGGCCCGCGUUGGAUUAGCUAGUUGGUGGGGUAAAGGCCUACCAAGGCGACGAUCCAUAGCUGGUCUGAGAGGAUGAUCAGCCACACUGGGACUGAGACACGGCCCAGACUCCUACGGGAGGCAGCAGUGGGGAAUAUUGGACAAUGGGCGAAAGCCUGAUCCAGCAAUGCCGCGUGAGUGAUGAAGGCCUUAGGGUUGUAAAGCUCUUUUACCAGGGAUGAUAAUGACAGUACCUGGAGAAUAAGCUCCGGCUAACUCCGUGCCAGCAGCCGCGGUAAUACGGAGGGAGCUAGCGUUGUUCGGAAUUACUGGGCGUAAAGCGCACGUAGGCGGCUUUUUAAGUCAGGGGUGAAAUCCCGGAGCUCAACUCCCGAACUGCCCUUGAAACUGGGAAGCUAGAAUCUUG
rnacentral:rRNA from 1 species